CCAAUAGCGUAUAUUAAAGUUGUUGCAGUUAAAAAGCUCGUAGUUGAAUUUCGGGAUUGACACAUCGGUCGUGCCUUAAGGGGUAUGAACUGGUGUAGUCAAUUUCUCACCUUCUGGAGAACCGCGAUGCCCUUAAUUGGGUGUCACGGGGAACCAGGACCUUUACUUUGAAAAAAUUAGAGUGUUUAAAGCAGGCAUUUUGCUUGAAUACAUUAGCAUGGAAUAAUAAAAUAGGACGGCAUGAUUCUAUUUUGUUGGUUUCUAGGAUCACCGUAAUGAUUAAUAGGGAUAGUUGGGGGCAUUAGUAUUCAGUUGUCAGAGGUGAAAUUCUUGGAUUUAUUGAAGACUAACUACUGCGAAAGCAUUUGCCAAGGAUGUUUUCAUUAAUCAAGAACGAAAGUUAGGGGAUCGAAGACGAUCAGAUACCGUCGUAGUCUUAACCAUAAACUAUGCCGACUAGGAAUCAGACGAUGUUAAUUUUUUAAUGACUCGUUUGGCACCUUACG
rnacentral:rRNA from 1 species